AUGGAUUUCCAUGAUUGGCAUCGUCCACAGGCCAUCCAUAGAAGGAAGAUCAAUGAUCCAGCACGCACUGGACCAAUCAGUGAUCCACCAGUAAUCGGAGCAAUGACAGAUAUUGCAUUGAUUGGACCUGCGCGACCCAUCGGAGCAUAUACGGGGCUUGGACUUGAAUUCAGUCCUGCCAGGACUACAAACGGAGGAGAAGGGAGAAGACGCAACCAGAGGACGAUCAACGAGAGGGGAGCAAUUGUUGAGUCAUGGGAGGUGGAUAGUUAUAAUGAUGAGCCAAGUUUUCAUCGCAAGGAAAUUGCUGGGGAGUGGGAAGGUCAGAAGAUACAAAUAUCUUAUAUGAUUGUGCCUGAUACAGUGGAAGCCAGAAUCAAGGUGAAGCUACUGCUCGCAGGAGGAAGCCGCUAUCAUGUGACAGGUUUCAUAAAGGCAUGGGAUGACAACAUGGGACACGAAUUUGUAAGGCUCUUGUCAGAUUCAGACCAAACAGUGGAGGUGCCCUCUGACCAAUGGACUCCACUUCCUUUGAUGAUUUCUCUGUUGUGUCUGAGCAAUGCUGAGGAAGUUCAGUUGAAAGUCGCUGCAUAUCUCACUUUCCGUUCAUGCUCGAACAGUGAGGAGCAAGCACUGAAUGUGUCUCCUGAUCAAUGCUUCAAGCUCAGCCAAAGAGCUGCCAGACAAGAACGUGAGGUCAUGGGCAACAGAAUUUCUGUGGCUGUGAAAUUCAGUACUUGA
rnacentral:rRNA from 1 species